rnacentral:tRNA from 1 species
AAAUAAAGUAAGCUAAUAUUAAGCUUUUGGGUUCAUACCUCAAAAAUAGAAGGGUAGAUCCUCUCUUUAUUUU